AAAAAAAAAAAGGAAAAAGCCCACCCCACGACCGACGACCACCCACCGCUCUUCCUCCCACCGUCCCCGAUCCCCAACCUCUCUGGAUCCCAUCGCCUGUGACCGCCUGACCUCCGCCGCCGCACGCCUGGCUUCUUCUCCUUCCGUCUCCUUGCCCGUAUCCAGCAUGCACCGCCGGCCCUCCCAUGGCGCUGUCACCGCGGCCACCCACUUCUCCUACCUCCCCACGGCGAGGCGUGCCUCCACCGCCGCCGCGACCCCAGCCGUGCAUCUCCGGCGUGGCGCCUCCCCACCACCGCUGCUACCCCAUCCCGCCCCUACCCCCUACUCCGUCGCCGCCUGCCGGGCGGACAUCGAUUUCCCUACAGGAGGAAGGGGUUCUCACCGGCUACGUGGGAUAAGGCCAGGGAGACUUGCGGGUCAUGCGGGCACCGGUGUUGCGUAGCAGUAGGGCGCCGCCGUCGAAUUUUUCAAGGAGAUGCGGCCCCUUCCCCGUCCAACUGCGACCAUGGCGUUGUCCAACCUCGUCUGUGCGCGCAGUCCAUCCUUGUUCACUCGCUCGCCAGCAGAGGCCAUCCCCGUCCAGCCCUCCUGUGGUAGGAAGGUCGAGCCCAUCGCAAGCUGUAGUCCACGAUAGUCACCCGGUCCUGCCUCCUUCAUCCUUCCCCACCUCGCCCUCUGCCUCGACCAGCCGGUUGGACAUCUUGUCAAGCUCGAGAACCUGUAUUGCAGAGCUAGCUAAUGGUUCUUCUUUUCCUACCCCCACAGCUUCCCUUUCAGCCAUUGAAGCUACAGAUGGAGCCCGCAAUGCAGCAGCAUCACCCCAACGGCCAUGGGACGGUCGAUGAUGGCUGCGUGUGGUGUGCGUCUCUCCGACGUGCUCGGCGUGCUGCCGAGGGGGCUGCAGUUUGAAGUGGCUGGGUAAUGAAGUUCAGAGAAUGCUUUUUUAGUACAUUCAGAGAAGUUGCUUUCUUGAUUUUUGUGAUAUUUUGGCUACACAGGUACUUAGUGCAGAGAGGUUGUGACCUUUGGCUCCUCUCAUCUUGAACACUUGCACCACAACCUCAUCUCAUGGGUAAAAUGACUAUUAGUAAAUUGGCACUAAAAAUGAAUACAGAAUAAGUAGAAAGACAUGAUGACCUCAUCUCACGGGUUCCAUCUCAAUAUAGCUCAAGCUUUUUAGAAACUACAUUUGACACAAAGCACUAAAUUGAUAUAGUUGUGAUAGCUUCUGAAGUAAUUUAUUCACUUUUGCAGCUUUGCCAAUUUAUUUGUAAAUGCUUUGUUUUCCACUAAUUUAUUUCGAAAUGCUUUUUUCCCAUAACAAUUAUUUUGGCAUUAGCAAAACAGAAGUUUUGUCUGGUGGCGAGAGACCAUGCAGGCUGUUUCGUUACUGGAAAAAUGCCUGAAGCAUGAACUCGUAUUUGGUCCGUGGCGUCGUGCUUCGCGUCGGCGACCGCUGGGGCUCCUUGGUCCAUGAACAGGUUUGCUCAGUGGCACGCACAAGCCGAGGAAGCUACAGUUGUCGAUGGAUAAAGUUCAACUUCGUGCAUGGAUAAAGUUCAGUUGUCACUAAAGCUUCUGUUGUUCUCCAUCGCGCGCCUGUAGUGUGUCCAUGCAGGUCGAGUAAAAUUCUCAUGGAAGUUCAAAUAAAAAAGCAGCUAUAGGGCAACCGUCGGUGGCUAUAAUGCGUGGUGAAAACUAAAAUCUGAAACGAGUGUUGCUAGAUAUAGUAGGCAGCAGAUUUUCUGAGGUUUGUUGGUGAACGCAACAACAGUAGUUUGUGCCAUUGGGGCCGUGUGGCAACCAGAAAUCUACACCUGGAUGUACUCUCUCUGUCUCUCCUGAAAUUCUAGGGCUAAUCUACUUGUAAUUCUAUCUCAUCUAUUUGUAUUUUAUAUCUCACAUACCUGAACAUAGUAGCACACUAGCAGUGUUGUAUGGUUAGUCUAUGUGAGAGAGUUUGUGUGAACGUGGUGUUUACUUUUCUUCAGGAAGCCAUUUUUUAAUAAUGAACUAUA